GGUCCCGUUGGCUCAAAAUAUAUUCUUCCUAUGAUACAGAGAAGAUGAGCAUGGGCCCUGAGCAAGGAUGACAAGCUAAUUCGUGAAGCGUUCCAUAUUUUU